rnacentral:lncRNA from 1 species
UGUGGGGCCCCGCCCAGUUUCUUGGCACAUCCUGACAACACUGCCAGCAUUAUGUUCCAAGAGCUUCCAAGGAAUAUCUUUCAAAAAGGCAAAGAUACAUUUUUCACACUGGCACUUACAUCUAUUAGGUAACUAAUCAGCAAUGACGGCAGUAGGUACUGUCUCUAACUACCUACACACCAUGUCACCCCUGAAGAAAGGCAAAAGUCAGCUGAACUCAAUCACCAUUAACAGCACUAGAAGGAUUUGGGCCCUGUGCUAGCCCGCUGUGGUCUGGGAGCAAGUUAGGAAGAUACAGUGCUCAGCAUCUUUGGAAUUGAGUUCACAGAGAGGUAGCUUGGAAAGAAUUACUCUGACCUAAGAAGAAGUGAAGACCUGACCCUGACCAUACAUUCGUCACCCUUCCUGUCCUCCACUUGGUUGGAGUUUUCAGUGAAACAGUAGAGGAAGUAGAAAACAAC